CGCCAGCAGCCGCGGUAAUACGGGAGGGGCAAGCGUUAUCCGAAAUGACUGGGCGUAAAGAGUCCGUAGACUGUACUGUAAGUUAUUUGUUAAAUCCUAAAGCCCAACUUUAGAACAGCAUUUAAUACUACUUUACUUGAGUUUUGUUCGGAAGAGUAGAAUUCCACGUUUAGGGAUAAUCCCCGUAGAUAUGUGGGGGAACACCAUUAGCGAAGGCGACUCUUUGGUAAAAACUGACGUUGAGGGACGAAAGUGUAGGGAGCAAACAGGAUUAGAUA
rnacentral:rRNA from 1 species